ACGGGUGUAGCUCAAUUGGUAGAGUGGCGGUCUCCAAAACCGUAGGCUGAGGGUUCGACUCCUUCCACCCGUG
rnacentral:tRNA from 1 species